AACCUAGCACACCUGCGGUGUGUACCUGCGGAAGGAUCAUUACAAAAAGACCCAAGGGGUUUUUGGGUUUCGGCCCAAGAAUACCCAACCCACCUCUUGUGCACUGUUCACGUUCGCUUUGGCAGUUGCUUUGGCUUCUCUGGAAGUCAACUUCUCGUCGGCUCUAUCCUUUUUGGACAGCUGGUGGUGAAGCGGCCUGCCAAGGCUUUUUUUCGAAAAUAACGCUUUUAGAAUCUACUG
rnacentral:misc_RNA from 1 species